UGGUGUUGGUGGCUAUCUUGCCUUCCUGUCGCCCCUGAUAGCACGGUAUGCCUCCGCUGAUCUGUUCUGACAAUACAGAUAAAUGUCUCUUAUCUUUCGUCAGUCGAACCACUUUACGGUUCAAUGCUUGUAUGUAUUCCUUUCGGCGGGUAGCUAUUUAGAAAAGUUUAUUUCUGAUGCCCCCUUGGCUAAAUGCUUGUAUUCCUUCACUCAACCUUGGCUUGAUAGGCUUAGCACGAUACUACGGUUCUUCAGGCUCGAUUUGGCAUGGUUCACCACGUUCCUUUGAUCUUUUGGUUUGUUAUAGUUUAAUCUACUCUCGUCCUUUCCCUACAAGCUGGGUAUCUCUCCCUCCGAGUCGUGCAAGAACUAGAAGGUCUCACGGGGAUUGGGACAACUAUCCAAACUCCAGCACUGAUCAGGUGAGAAAGAAGACCGAAAUAGACCUUCUAGAAAGGUCUAUGAUCCUACCGGAAUAGAAAGUGAUAGAGAGCUCUUGUUGUACUCCACAAUGGGUUGGAGAUGCUAUUUUUCUUGCCAAUGAUGGAGGUGCCGUUUAUAUUGAUAGUAAGGGAGAAGUGGAAGCUACAUCUGUCCAUGAGAUGGAUGAAAAUGUGAAUAUUUUUACUGUUGUUUUAAAGCAUAAGGUGCAUGGCAAGUGAAGCCUUGUUAUGGUAGGUUGAGCAUAGUGAAGAGGAGGCCUAAAAAUUAUAUUGUGAUUAUGCUCAUCACUUUGAUUUUAGUGUUAGAAGGGAGAAGUAAUAUUGCUUCACCAAGAUAAACAAAAUUAUACAAAAGGACUAUUGUUACUAAAGGAAGGAUUGAAGGAUGAUACUUACCUAAUAAGACAAAUACACUUGGCCUGAUACUAGAACUAAUUGCAAAGCAAUGGUUCAUUUUAUAGUUGAUGAGCUAGGGUAAUGGAAGAUAACUAGAUUACUUUCUAAACACAAUCAUCACCUGGCUAAACUGGAGGAAAGGCAUUUGUUGAGGUCUGAACGGUCUUUACUUCUCAUUAACUUCUGAGAAGUAAUGGAUUCAAUGGUGGAUCUAGAAUUUCGAGCAAUUAAUGCCUUAUCUUAUAUGGUUGAAGAAGGGGGUAAAAUUGAAAAUGUGGGAUUUAUAAAAUGUGAUUGUUAUAAUUAUGUUGAUAUUUAGAAAAUGAUGCUACUUGAAACUGGAGACUCUCAAAGUCUAGUAAGCCAUUUCAAGCAUAUGACAAAUCAAGAGGGCAUGUUUUAUUGGGAUGUGCAAAUUGAUCGAAAGGGUAGAAUGACAAACGUUUUUUUGGAGGGAUGGGAGAUUUAGAAUCGACGAUGAUUGUUUUCAGAUGUAAUGGAUUUCGAAACUACUUAUCACAUAAACAGAUGUAACUUAAUUUGUGCACCAUUUAUGGGGGUUAACCACCAUUAGCAAAAUAUCAUGUUUGGGUGUGCUUUCUUGUUAGAUGAGAUAACAACAUCCUUCAUAUAGUUGUUUAAGACAUUCUUAGAGUCAAUGGGUGAUCGAUCGGGCAAUGCUUUAAAUGACUCUCUGAGCUUUUGAUGUAACUGGAAAAGAAACAAUACAAGAGAUCAUAAUUGUGAUUAGCUUUUUUUUACGAAAAGCAAUUGAAGAUGUGUUUCCAAAUACACACCAUCACCUUUAUUUAUAGAAUAUCUAUGAGAAUGUGGUCUCAUUUGGGUAGCUUUCAUUUUGGUCACCCUUUCCGAUAGUUGUUUAACAAAUAUUUGCAGAGAUGUUAAUCAUAAGUGGAAUUUGAAGAAACAUAGGCUAGGAUGUUUUCUGAGUAUAAUUCCUAAGAUCACAAGUGGCUUAAUAGUCUAUAUAAGCUUCGUCAAAGGUGACACAAGGCUCUUAACGAAGAUACUUUCAAUGAUGGCAUUAAAUCAUCUCAAAGGAGUGAGAGUACUGUUAAUGUCUUAAAUGGCAUAGCUGAUAAAUCAAUAUUUCUCACAAAGUUUGUACUUGCCUUCGAAAAGUUAGUUAAAGGUUAGUGUAGAAAUGAAUAUGAAGAGGAUUUUCGUUGUGCUCAAAGUGCCUCUACACGAGCAAUCAAACAUAGCGAGAUUUCGAAGAAUAUAUCCAAAGUUUAUACACAUAAAAUAUAUAAGUUAUUUGAGGAGUUUCUUGAGUGUUGUGGUGCAGCAUCAUGCCAUAAAAUUCCAUGUGAUACUUUGCUCACAUGCUUUAAAAGUGUUAAACAAAAAAAUGCACAUAGAAUUCUAGAAAGUUAUAAACGAAAAUGGUAGAUGAAAGAUGCUAGAAAAAGGAUGUAUAAAUUGAAGCAAGAUGAGCCAUCACAGCAGUAGUCCACCACUAAGGCGGAACCGAUUUAUUGCAAUUGUCCAAUGAGAUAUUCUUGUAACCUUGUAUUGUUGAGCCAAGGGCACGAGGAAUCAAGGAGAAUUCUUUGGGAUUCUCCUGAGGUGAGAG